CCCUUAGAUGUCCUGGGCCGCACGCGCGCUACACUGAACGGAUCAGCGCGUUUUCCCUUCCCGAGAGGGACGGGUAACCUGCUGAACCCCGUUCGUGGUAGGGAUCGGGGCUUGCAAUUAUUCCCCGUGAACCAGGAAUGCCCAGUAAGUGCAAGUCAUAAGCUUGCGUUGAUUACGUCCCUGCCCUUUGUACACACCGCCCGUCGCUACUACCGAUUGAACGUUUUAGUGAGGUACUCGGACUGAGCCUCAGAAGAUUCACGUCUUUUGUGCUGCUCGGGAAGAUUCCCAAACUUGAGCGUUUAGAGGAAGUAAAAGUCGUAGCA
rnacentral:rRNA from 1 species